rnacentral:rRNA from 1 species
AUUGAACGCUGGCGGAAUGCUUUACACAUGCAAGUCGAGCGGCAGCGCGGGGGCAACCCUGGCGGCGAGCGGCGAACGGGUGAGUAACACAUCGGAACGUACCCAGUUGUGGGGGAUAGCCCGGCGAAAGCCGGAUUAAUACCGCAUACGACCUGAGGGUGAAAGGGGGGGAUCGCAAGACCUCCAGCAGUUGGAGCGGGCGAUGGCGGAUUAGCUAGUUGGUGAGGGAAAGGAUCACCAAGGCGACGAUCCGUAGCGGGUCUGAGAGGGCGACCAGCCACACUGGAACUGAGACACGGUUCAGACUCCUACGGGAGGCAGCAGUGGGGAAUUUUGGACAAUGGGGGCAACCCUGAUCCAGCCAUUCCGCGUGAGUGAAGAAGGCCUUCGGGUUGUAAAGCUCUUUCGGCAGGAACGAAACGGUGGAGGCUAAUACCUUUCAUCAAUGACGGUACCUGAAGAAGAAGCACCGGCUAACUACGUGCCAGCAGCCGCAGUAA